rnacentral:lncRNA from 1 species
ACAUUGUAGUAAGAAUUUAUAUCAGGAGUGUAAGUUACUGAAUUUUGUUAUUUUUCAGAAUUCUUGUGUGUUUGAUUUUCUUUAUAUGUUUAUAUGGAUUUUAGGAAGAGCUUGUCAAUUUAUAUUAAAGAAAAGCUACAUUGGAAUUUG